AUGCGGCGCUCGAGUUGGCAUUGCGUGCGUGCGUGCGGGUUGUUUGGUCCUUCGGGUUGGCAUUGUGCUACAAGCGCAAUGAGGACCUCCCCCUCGACCGCUAGCUCGACGCAACCCUUGCUUCACGAAUCUGGCCACUGUUUACAAUGCACACGUUCGGGCAGAUGCUGUGGUGCAUUGCAUUUAUCUAGCGGACUUGAUAGGAACUGCACGAGUGAGGAUCUGCACGAACGUUCUGUGGAAAUGUUUCAUGGUACCGGUUCCCGUCCCCGUGGUAAUACUUGGGCUGAACGAGCAAGAAAAGAUCAUGUUUGCCGCAGCAGUGAGCAUCCUGAGGUCUCCCAUGCUCACAUUGCAAGGAACAAAGAAACAAGAAACUCCACAUCUCGCAUGCCACAAAUGGAAAAUGCUCACGAACGAACCCACCACUACCUAGAAGGUGUGCAGUGCAAGUGA
rnacentral:rRNA from 1 species